rnacentral:rRNA from 1 species
AUAGCCCAGAGAAAUUUGGAUUAAUACCUCAUAGUAUAGCAGUUUCGCAUGAAACCACUAUUAAAGUCACAACGGCAAAAGAUGAGCAUGCGUCCCAUUAGCUAGUUGGUAAGGUAACGGCUUACCAAGGCUACGAUGGGUAGGGGUCCUGAGAGGGAGAUCCCCCACACUGGUACUGAGACACGGACCAGACUCCUACGGGAGGCAGCAGUGAGGAAUAUUGGACAAUGGGCGCAAGCCUGAUCCAGCCAUGCCGCGUGCAGGAUGACGGUCCUAUGGAUUGUAAACUGCUUUUGUACAGGAAGAAACACUCCCUCGUGAGGGAGCUUGACGGUACUGUAAGAAUAAGGAUCGGUUAACUCCGUGCCAGCAGCCGCGGUAAUACGGAGGAUCCAAGCGUUAUCCGGAAUCAUUGGGUUUAAAGGGUCCGUAGGCGGUUUAGUAAGUCAGUGGUGAAAGCCCAUCGCUCAACGGUGGAACGGCCAUUGAUACUGCUAUACUUGAAUUAUUAGGAAGUAACU